AGAUUGGCGAGAGGGGAGUGGAGAGGAAGGUAUCCGUAGAGAUAACAUCGCCGCUCGCUCCGUGUUUGCCACCAUGAUGCUUUCUCUCUCGAACCGAUGGUCUAAACAGACGACGGACAGAGACCGAUUGUCCGUCUUUAUCUAACUAACGCAUCUCUCACUCCUGCACAUAGCACGGAGGGGAACCGUAAUAUCGACAUAGCGCUGCUGAGAACCACGAAAACGUAGACAUUACCGACGUGGAAAAUGGACCUUGGCUACUUAGUUCAAGGUCCAUUUUUCGUGAAUCACAGAGGCCCUCUCAAAAUAAAGUCGCACCUAAAAUCGAAGCAUGACCGCUCUCAGGUUCCUCUCUGUCCUUGUGUUGCGUGAGAAGCCGGAAGAAAAACAAAAGUGUGCAUAAACAUAAACUAUAAAAUAGACUCGACAGGGUCCGGCGUGGCGUACGCACGUACUACAGUCAUAGAACAAAAGAUAAAAGAAAUACGUAGACACGCAGAUAACAUUAAAAGAAACAUUAACAGAAUGAUAAAUUAAAAGCAAUUUGUUGGCUACAGAAUUUAACGUAAAACUGAG